rnacentral:rRNA from 1 species
CUUGCACCUUUAAAAUUUUAGCGGCGGACGGGUGAGUAACACGUGGGUAACCUACCUUAUAGAUUGGGAUAACUCCGGGAAACCGGGGCUAAUACCGAAUAAUACUUUUUAACACAUGUUUGAAAGUUGAAAGACGGUUUCGGCUGUCACUAUAAGAUGGACCCGCGGCGCAUUAGCUAGUUGGUGAGGUAACGGCUCACCAAGGCAACGAUGCGUAGCCGACCUGAGAGGGUGAUCGGCCACACUGGGACUGAGACACGGCCCAGACUCCUACGGGAGGCAGCAGUAGGGAAUCUUCCACAAUGGACGAAAGUCUGAUGGAGCAACGCCGCGUGAGUGAAGAAGGAUUUCGGUUCGUAAAACUCUGUUGCAAGGGAAGAACAAGUAGCGUAGUAACUGGCGCUACCUUGACGGUACCUUGUUAGAAAGCCACGGCUAACUACGUGCCAGCAGCCGCGGUAAUACGUAGGUGGCAAGCGUUGUCCGGAAUUAUUGGGCGUAAAGCGCGCGCA